UACGUAGGGUGCGAGCGUUGUCCGGAAUUAUUGGGCGUAAAGAGCUCGUAGGCGGUCUGUCGCGUCGAUCGUGAAAACUUGGGGCUUAACCCUGAGCUUGCGGUCGAUACGGGCAUGACUGGAGUUCGGCAGGGGAGACUGGAAUUCCUGGUGUAGCGGUGAAAUGCGCAGAUAUCAGGAGGAACACCGGUGGCAAAGGCGGUUCUCUGGGCAUGACCUGACGCUGAGGAGCGAAAGUGUGGGGAGCGAACAGG
rnacentral:rRNA from 1 species